rnacentral:rRNA from 1 species
ACACUCCUACGGGAGGCAGCAGUAGGGAAUCUUCCACAAUGGGUGCAAACCUGAUGGAGCAAUGCCGCGUGAGUGAAGAAGGUCUUCGGAUCGUAAAGCUCUGUUGUUAGAGAAGAACACGUGCUAGGUAACUACUAGCGCCUUGACGGUAUCUAACCAGAAAGUCACGGCUAACUACGUGCCAGCAGCCGCGGUAAUACGUAGGUGACAAGCGUUGUCCGGAUUUAUUGGGCGUAAAGGGAGCGCAGGCGGUCUGUUUAGUCUAAUGUGAAAGCCCACGGCUUAACCGUGGAACGGCAAUGGAAACUGACAGACUUGAAUGUAGAAGAGGAAAAUGGAAUUCCAAGUGUAGCGGUGGAAUGCGUAGAUAUUUGGAGGAACACCAGUGGCGAAGGCGAUUUUCUGGUCUAACAUUGACGCUGAGGCUCGAAAGCGUGGGGAGCGAACAGGAUUAGAAACCCCGGUAGUCCCAUGA